rnacentral:lncRNA from 1 species
UGGAAGGGGAAUUUUCAUACAAAAACAACGGAAGUAUCCGUGCAUAAUAUAGGAGUGACUGAAAAAGCUAUGGGACUUGUGUACAUAACGUCCUAACAGUGGGAGAAAAACCCGGCUGAGUGGUGAGAAGACUAAGUACCUCCUGAUAAAGAUUGCAAUUCUCUUCAAGUCUACGUAUUUCAGCUGAGCCCAUAGUUCUUGUUGAUGUGAAAACAUUCCUAAUGAGAUUGAAGUGAAGAAUCUGAUCUCUGGACUUGAUCACAGUUACUUCUUAAUCAAGGAACCAGUUGAAAGAAUAUGAAUGGCAGUAGCUAUCUCCUGAAUCACUGCCCAGUUGCCAGCUGCAAGUCCUCACUCCAAAGAAGUAAGUGUCCACAGCACAAAGCCAGAAGAAUCUCUGAAGGGCUAUUAUAG